rnacentral:lncRNA from 1 species
GAGAGUUGAGUUUGAUUUCAAUGAUUUUAUGACUAAUUCCCCUCAUUUUGAGAGAGAAUUAGGUAAUAUUGGAAGAAGAGAAGAAAGACCAAGAAGAGGGAGCUCAGAAGGGGUUAAAAAGGCACCAAAAGGACGGAAAACACGCAGCCCGGGCGUCUAGAAACGCAGCUGAAGCGAGAAAAAUCGAUAUCUGCUGCCCAGGCGGUGGCCCUCGAUGCCCGGGCGGCGGGGCUUUGUAGCCUGGGCGUCCAAAUCUGACGCCUGGGCAUUACAUGACCCUCAAUUCAUGCUCGGGCAGCCCCCCUACGACGCUUGAGCGAGAAUUCACAUGGAUCGGGCCCUGUCUCUACUCUGUUUUGAUUCUUUUGGACCAGGGCUCACUCUGGCACGCCUCUGACACUAUUUGAAGGACCCUAAGGCUCUAUGUUUUGCAUCCCUGGCAGAAAAGAUCAUAGAAAUACACUCUUUAUCCAAUUCUUAGGCUUUCUUUCUCAUUCUUUCUUCCAUUGUUCAUAGAGUUCCCUCA